AACGAACGCUGGCGGCAGGCCUAACACAUGCAAGUCGAGCGCCCUUUCGGGGGAGCGGCGGACGGGUGAGUAACGCGUGGGAAUAUGCCCUUCUCUACGGAAUAGCCUCGGGAAACUGAGAGUAAUACCGUAUACGCCCUUUGGGGGAAAGAUUUAUCGGGGAAGGAUUAGCCCGCGUUGGAUUAGGUAGUUGGUGGGGUAAUGGCCUACCAAGCCGACGAUCCAUAGCUGGUUUGAGAGGAUGAUCAGCCACACUGGGACUGAGACACGGCCCAGACUCCUACGGGAGGCAGCAGUGGGGAAUCUUAGACAAUGGGGGCAACCCUGAUCUAGCCAUGCCGCGUGAGUGAUGAAGGCCUUAGGGUUGUAAAGCUCUUUCAGCUGGGAAGAUAAUGACGGUACCAGCAGAAGAAGCCCCGGCUAACUCCGU
rnacentral:rRNA from 1 species